AGCAGCCGCGGUAAUUCCAGCUCCAAUAGCGUAUAUUAAAGUUGUUGCAGUUAAAAAGCUCGUAGUUGAAUUUCGGGAUUAAUUUAUUGGUCGUGCUAUUGUACGUACUGGUAUUAUUGAUUCCUACCUUCUGACGAACCAUGAUGUCAUUAAUUUGGUGUCAUGGGGAAUCAGGACUGUUACUUUGAAAAAUUAGAGUGUUUAAAGCAGGCUCACGCUUGAAUACAUUAGCAUGGAAUAACGAAAUAGGACGUUUGAUUCUAUUUUGUUGGUUUCUAGGAUCGACGUAAUGAUUAAUAGGGAUAGUUGGGGCAUUAGUAUUCAAUUGUCAGAGGUGAAAUUCUUGGAUUUAUUGAAGACUAACUACUGCGAAAGCAUUUGCCAAGGAUGUUUUCAUUAAUCAAGAACGAAAGUUAGGGGAUCGAAGACGAUCAGAUACCGUCGUAGUCUUAACCAUAAACUAUAGCCGACUAGGGAUCGGAUGAUGUUAAUUUU
rnacentral:rRNA from 1 species